rnacentral:lncRNA from 1 species
ACCUGUGCUCAAGGGUACAUUCUUUCCCUUGGCAGCUUUAUUCGCUUUUCCUUAUCAAAAUAACUCAUUGCCUAGAUCACAUAAAUGGCUUUACCUGUUUCUGCUAGCACAUUACACUCCCUGUGAGUACAACAGAGAGAACUGAAAAAUGUUUUCCUGAAUUUGGUAAAAAACAGAAUUCACUGGAAUGCUCAUAGAUUUGUAACAUUUUAGAGCCAUGAGAGAGAACCAAUCCAUUUUACAAAUGAGAAUAUUGAGGCCCAGAAAAAUGACAAUACUUUUUGAAUGUCAAACUAAGUAAUAGCAGAGAUGGAAUUGGAAACAGAUUUCUUAUGCUCAUCCCACCAUAUGAUGAUUUAAUUGCUGACAGUUACUCAAAGAAGGGAGCUAUCUGGGGAGGUGGUGAGAUGGAAAUAGAGCUAUAUUAUCAAGGAAAACUGCAGUCUAGUGUUAGGAGACCUGAGUGCUAGUCUUGGUUUUCCAAUUAACUAGUUAAGAUCCCUUUCAAUUCAAAAUACUCUUAAGAUCUUUGGCAAGGAGAAGCUAUAGGUGGCGAAGUAGAUAGUGCACUGGCCCUGAAGUCAGGAGGACCUAAGUUCAGUCUGGCCUCAGACACUUAAUACUUCCUAGUUGUGUGACCCUGGGCAAGUCACUUAACCCCAACUGCCUCAGGAAAAAAAAAAGAAAAAAAGAAAAGAAAAAAAAGAUCUUUGGCAAGAAAAUCUUUAGGUUUCAGGAUCAUCUGUAGAAGGAGGACAUGGAAUUAAAUUUAGAUUAGACCUUCCAAAUUCUAUUUUAUGUACAUGAAUGUGUACCCUAGAACAUAAGCCAUGUUAAGCUCCCAUUUUAAAAUCCCAUUGAAAUUCAAGUUAACAAAUUUAUAAACUUUUAAGUCCUUACAAUUUACCAAGCACUCUGGUAAAUAUGGGGGGAACAAAUACAAACAGAAAAAAGUUCUUGUCCUUAAGGAAUUUACAUUCUAAUGGGAGAAAACUUUUUAGAAGUGGGAACUGAAAAAAUUGGCUUUCAGAAAGGAGAGAGAAGAUAUUCAUGUUGACACAUGGUGGAAAAAGUGGAAUCUGCAAAGGAAUGAAGACUCAGCUGAACUGAACAUUUUUCCUAAAAUGGAAGUUCCAGAAAGAACCAGCUAAUCAAAGGAAGAAGAACUGUUAUGGAGAGUACUUCCAGGAUGAGAAAUCCAGAAUGAAGUGAACUUCAAAAGUUAAGCCUUUUGUGAGACAGUGUCAAGAAUGGAGCGCAAAAUGGAAAGAUUAAUUUGAAUAAGUCAUAGGUUACUAGGGUUUAAAGCUAGACAAGACCCUUAGAAAUUAACUUGCACAAUUCCUUCUAUUUUUGUUUUGAAAUUGAAUCAAAGGUAAUAAAUCAUAGAGUUGGGAUCCCUGUGUAGAUCCUAACAAUUGACCAUUUCAAGUACUCAAAGAAGGGAUUCAGAAGUCCUUGGACAUCUACAGAUUUUUAGUUUCACCUGAUAGUAUCAUUUACAAAACAUUUAUGGAAUUAUUAAAUUCAAGUGAAUGUGAGCAAGUGAAGAUGUGCUAAAAGAUGCUUGAGUAGGUCCCAAUAGGCACAUUUCUACAGUAAAAUGUGCUAGAUUAGCCACUUCAUAAAAUUGAAUAGCGUCUGUGUAAGUUGGAAGUAUUGACUAUAUAAAAAACCCUUUACAAUUUUAUAAAAAUGGCUUUCAAAUACAUACAGCAGGUGAACCAUAUGAGAAAAAUCUCAAUAUUCAAUUCUUCGGUAAAAGUACAAUCACUAAGGCAGAUUGGGUUGUAAACUAUUAGGACCAUAGUCUUUAGAGCAGGAAAGAUCCUUCAAAAUCAUUUAGUUGAACACCUUCAUUUCAUAAAUUAGAUAAAUUAGAUUAUAAAAUAAAUUAUAAAUUAGAGAAACAAAACAAUUUAAGGUUAUAAAGCUAGUAUUAUGAGAGAGCUAGGUCUUCAAAUUCAGUAUCAUAUUAGGAUAUACCAAAGGGCACUUAGACAUUAAAUAUUGCUUUAGUUCAACGAAGCAGAU